CAGCACCUCAAGUGGUCAGGAUGAUUAUUGGGCCUAAAGCAUCCGUAGCCGGCGCUGUAAGUUUUCGGUUAAAUCUGUACGCUCAACGUACAGGCUGCCGGGAAUACUGCAGCGCUAGGGAGUGGGAGAGGUAGACGGUACUCGGUAGGAAGGGGUAAAAUCCUAUGAUCUAUUGAUGACCACCUGUGGCGAAGGCGGUCUACCAGAACACGUCCGACGGUGAGGGAUGAAAGCUGGGGGAGCAAACCGGAUUAGAUACCCGCGUAGUCC
rnacentral:rRNA from 1 species